UUUAGAGGGUGAAAAUCUUAUCUGAAAUAUGAGAUUAUAAUUUUUUUUUAAUAUCUGAAAAUCUUAUAUGACAUGGGACACUUGGCACAAUUUUAGAGGGUGAAAAUGUUAUCUGAAAUCUGAGAUUAUAAUUUUUUUUAAUGAAUAUUCGAAAAUUUUAUCUGGAAUAAGACAUGUGGCAACCGAGGUUCUCAUCCGAAAAUCUUUUG
rnacentral:lncRNA from 1 species